UCGGCCAGGGAUGUGCUCGCGGCCUAUCAGCUUGAUGGUGAGGUAAUGGCUCACCAUGGCUUCGACGGGUAGCCGGCCUGAGAGGGUGACCGGCCACACUGGGACUGAGACACGGCCCAG
rnacentral:rRNA from 1 species